AAUGCAUAGGAAUCUGCCCAGUAGUGGGGGAUAACGUGGAGAAAUCCACGCUAAUACCGCAUAUGUCCUACGGGACAAAGCAGGGGACCUUCGGGCCUUGCGCUAUUGGAUGAGCCUAUGUCAGAUUAGCUAGUUGGUGGGGUAAUGGCCUACCAAGGCAACGAUCUGUAGCUGGUCUGAGAGGAUGAUCAGCCACACUGGGACUGAGACACGGCCCAGACUCCUACGGGAGGCAGCAGUGGGGAAUAUUGCACAAUGGGCGCAAGCCUGAUGCAGCAAUGCCGCGUGUGUGAAGAAGGCCUGCGGGUUGUAAAGCACUUUUAUCAGGAAAGAAAAAUCCGGAACUAAUAUUUCCGGCAUUGACGGUACCUGAAGAAUAAGCACCGGCUAACUAAGUGCCAGCUGCUGCGG
rnacentral:rRNA from 1 species